rnacentral:rRNA from 1 species
AUUGAACGCUGGCGGCAGGCCUAACACAUGCAAGUCGAACGAGUGGCGGACGGGUGAGUAAUGUCUGGGAAAAUGCCCGAUGGAGGGGGAUAACUACUGGAAACGGUAGCUAAUACCGCAUACCAUCGGAUGUGCCCAGAUGGGAUUAGCUAGUAGGUGGGGUAAAGGCUCACCUAGGCGACGCUCCCUAGCUGGUCUGCGAGGAUGACCAGCCACAUUGGAACUGAGACACGGUCCAUACUCCUACGGGAUGCAGCAUUGGUGAAUAUUGCACAAUGGGCGCAAGCCUGAUGCAGCCAUGCCGCGUGUAUGAAGAAGGCCUUCGGGUUGUAAAGUACUUUCAGCGAGGAGGCGUUACUCGCAGAAGAAGCACCGGCUAACUCCGUGCCAGCAGCCGCGGUAAUAC